rnacentral:ncRNA from 1 species
AAAUUAAUAGAGAAGCUCAUAUAUUUUCCAUGAUAUGGAUGGAAAGUUUCUACAAAUGACCGCAAAUCAUUUAGCUAUGGGCGGAAGUGUA